UAGUCCGUGAAACAUCCCUCUUUCUUCUCAUUCUUCUCACUUCUGAUUCUUCAUCUAUUUUUUUGCUCUCUCUUUAAGCCUUUCAAUACACAGAGAAAGAAGAAGAAGAUCCAUGAAAAAGAUUGUCAUAGAUAGAGAAAGAAAUUCGAGAAAGAAACGACGGGAGAAGGAGAAAGAAGAUCCACCGGAUAACAACACCUACACAAGUUUCAUACAAGCACACCAUGUGUUUGAUAAAAUGUUCUUUGUAAAUCGUGUUCUUUGGUUGUAAAUUAUCAACGUUUGUUCUAUGAUUUUUGUUGAAGAAAUCAAGGUUUUGUUCUACAUGAGAGAAAGAAGAAGAUCCAUCAAAGAAGAAGAAGAACUACAUGGGUAUUUGAUUUUCUCUACAAUCAUCAUUAUUCUUCCUUCCAAGUAUUUGAUUUUUCUUUCUUUGUUAUUUUUCAAUUUUUGAAUCAGAAUGUAGAAAAUGGUUAUCAAACCUGAAUUUAGUUGUUGUUGUUCUUCUUUAUUUAUUUUAUUUUUCUGUUUUGUUUAUUUAUUUUACUCAUCACUUUCAUUUUCUAUAUGCACACCAUGUGUUUGAUUAAAUGUUGUUGUGGCUUCCCAUCAACAUUAGAAGCAAUGGUGCAAAAAGGUAGUCCAAAGAGAUGAUUUUAUUUUACCAUUUUCAUGGUAUAUUUACCUAACCAUUCAUUCUAUCUUUGGAAAAAAAUCUGCAAAUACUAGGUAAGGUUUAUUUCUCUCCCUUUCAUUCAUUCUUCUUUCCUUUGUCAUUUUAAACCUUGAAAAUUUAACUUUUCAUUUUUUUUGGGAAUGAAGCUUGCGCAAAUGAAACUAAAGAAGACAAGGAGGUUGUUUUUCAUAUGAAUUUUUGUUCAACAUUUAACCAAAGUUUGGUUUUAAUGCAGGUUUUUAUAUAAAUAUUUUCUCUAAUAUGAAAUUAACAUUUUUUUAUUUAUGUCUAUGAAGUUGAAUCUUGGUAGCUCUUCCAUAGAAAGUGAGUUACAAAAGGUAAAAUAUGAUUAUCUUUCUCAUAUCCAACUAUGAUACAUACAAGUUCUUGGUAGCUCUUCCUUUAUUGUGUCCUACUGAUCAUUUUUCUUACCUACAUCUUUAACUCAAAUGUUACCUUUUAAUGUUUAGUUAUGUCCUUAUAUUGAUUAUAAGUAUAGACACUGAUAUGGACACCGGAUUAAAAUCUAUGUUUUCACGCUACAAUCUUUCAUUGCCGUCGUUUACGGUAAAAAGUCUAAUUUUAAAUUUUUUCGUAAGUUUUACGACGAUUAAAAUAUGUGUUUUCUAGCUUUAACGCUUAAAAUCUAUGUUUUACGCUUACAAUCUUUCAUUGUCGUCGUUUACGAUAAAAAGGUCUGAUUUUUCAUCUUUUGGUAUGUUUUACGACGAUUAAAAUUAUAUUUUGAAACUCUGUUAUUAUUAUUACUACUCUUUUGAGACUGAUUAUUAUCAUUUUGGUCACUAAUUUCAUACUUGGACAAUACACUUGAUGAGUUACUUGGAAUGACCCUGAAAUUAUUCAUCUUGCAAAAAUGUGAAUAAGUGUUUUAACGCGCACAAUGCUUGCUUCACGUUGUUUUCUUCAUUGCGUUAGCAGAAGUUUUAUCAUCUAAUGAUAUCAAUGUUUUCUUCCAAUGCUCAUGUUUCUAAUUAUGGUAUAAUUGUUUGUUUCUUCCCAUUGUUUUUUAUCCUUUUUGUUUUUUUGCAAAUGAUGUUCUGGAAACAGCUCCAAAGAAAGAGGGCCAACUUCAACAAAGCAGCCACUUUAUCAACUAAGGAUAAAAGAAUCACUUCAACAAUGACUGCAAUUUCUCAGCCAAGCUUAAUGGAAAAAUGGAUCUCUUAAUGAAGUUCAUCGGGGUGAAACCUUCAUUGAGGAUCUCAAAGCUCAAUUCACUACAUCUCAAGUAAUACAUUGAUAUCCAUAUUUUCAACUAUGCUUGAUAUCCUCCAACUACUGGAUUGUGUUCAAAGAUGAUUGAUGAUUCUGCUGCUGGAACAAGUGUUGCAGAGAGUUCCAAGAUGAUUGUUGAUUCUGCUGUUGGAACAACUGAAGAUGAUAUCAUUAGCACUCAAGAGUUGUCUGUUACCGCUGAAUUAAACCCAACUUUGGCUGAAAUGAAAAUGAAAACUCCUGCAAAGAGGGGAAUAGAAGAUAAUGGGAAGCAAGAUGUUCUCUCAGCCAAACUGUGGUUAAAAUUCCCAAGAAAGAAAAAUUGGAUGUUGAAGUCUUUGAUGAUGAUGAACUGAUGAUAUCGCAGAGUUUGUCUUCUGGGACAGUACACUGGAUUAACCCAAAAAUUGUUACAAUGGAUUAAUAUUAUUAAUACAAACAAUUAAUAUUUUUCAGUGCCAAGAUUCAAGAACAACUACCUGUUGCAUAGAGUUCACGCAAAGACAUAGAAUUUAUUCAGGAACAAGUUGUGGCCAUUAAUGAUUCACUUCCAAUUCAGCUUUUACCCAAUCUGAUAUCGACAAGUUGGAUUGGCUAGAUGAUUCUAUUCUAUCCACACCAAAUGUAUCCGCUUCUGCCGAGAAUGACAUGUCUGCUUCUUCUCACAAAACACCUGCCAAAAGGAGUUCUGCUAAGCAGAUAUUAAUGGUGGUAUCUUUUGUUUAAUGUAUGAUAAAAUAUGCAAUUAUCUAACCAAGGAGGGAAUUAUUUGAUAAAAAAAAAAAUCAAGGAGGGAAUUAUCUUUCAAUUCAGUUUGCAACUUUGGUAAAUCAGGAGAUAUGCAAUUAUCCCAAAUGUCGGCAAUAUCGCAUAUUAAUGGUGAUAUAUUGAAUGUGUAAUGUAUGUUGCAAUAUCCUCCUAAAGUUAGUACAAAAAUUGGAACUGGAUGGAAAGAAUUUUGUAAAAUAGAAGGAUACAAACAUGGUGAUACCAUUAGGUUCAAAUUUGAUAAUAGACUUUCAUCCAAAUUGAUUCAUGUUCGCAAAAUCUAAUUGAAGUUACAUGAUUCUUUGUGAACAAAUGCCAAAUUCAAUUUUAGUUGAAUGUCGAA